rnacentral:rRNA from 1 species
CUUUCCCUCUUUCUUCAGGCCCAACACAUGCAAGUCGAACGGUAACAGGAAGCAGCUUGCUGCUUUGCUGACGAGUGGCGGCCGGGUGAGUAAUGUCUGGGAAACUGCCUGAUGGAGGGGGAUAACUACUGGAAACGGUAGCUACUACCGCAUAACGUCGCAAGACCAAAGAGGGGGACCUUCGGGCCUCUUGCCAUCGGAUUUGCCCAGAUGGGAUUAGCUAGUAGGUGGGGUAACGGCUCACCUAGGCGACGAUCCCUAGCUGGUCUGAGAGGAUGACCAGCCACACUGGAACUGAGACACGGUCCAGACUCCUACGGGAGGCAGCAGUGGGGAAUAUUGCACAAUGGGCGCAAGCCUGAUGCAGCCAUGCCGCGUGUAUGAAGAAGGCCUUCGGGUUGUAAAGUACUUUCAGCGGGGAGGAAGGGAGUAAAGUUAAUACCUUUGCUCAUUGACGUUACCCGCAGAAGAAGCACCGGCUAACUCCGUG